GCUCCACAAUAGUCGAAGAUGAACAACAAACUUGUACUGACGAUUCUGCUGGUGACUGUAGGUCUGAUGUGCCUAGGCAUCGCCCCGGUAACCGGUCUAAGGAGAAAUUGCUGGUGUCGUCGGAGUUGUUAUCCGGGUGAACGAAACACUUAUCGGAGGUGCAGUAUACCUGGAUCAUAUGGCUGGGGCUCCCGAGGCACCGAGUGUUGUCGAGGUGGCUUUUUUUACGGCCGUUAGGAAAACCUAGAUUGCGAUUUGCACUGAAAGGAUCAGAUUAAAACAAGCAACGUCAGCGUAAAUCUGGAUAUGUGUGUUACCAGCAGC